AUGAAAGAUGGUUCUGCUAUCGCNUUUAGAUGGACCCGCGGCGUAUNAACUAGUUGGUGGGGUAACGGCCUACCAAGGUGAUGAUACGUAGCCGAACUGAGAGGUUGAUCGGCCACAUUGGGACUGAGACACGGCCCAAACUCCUACGGGAGGCAGCAGUAGGGAAUCUUCCACAAUGGACGCAAGUCUGAUGGAGCAACGCCGCGUGAGUGAAGAAGGUCUUCGGAUCGUAAAACUCUGUUGUUAGAGAAGAACACGAGUGAGAGUAACUGUUCAUUCGAUGAC
rnacentral:rRNA from 1 species